GCGCACGGGUGAGCAACGCGUAUGCAACCUGCCCUCCACAGGGGGAUAGCCCGCCGAAAGGCGGAUUAAUACCCCAUCGCCCCCGGGGCCCGCAUGGGUUCCGGGGUAAAGGAUUUAUCCGGUGGAGGAUGGGCAUGCGUGCCAUUAGCUGGUUGGCGGGGUAACGGCCCACCAAGGCGACGAUGGCUAGGGGGUCUGAGAGGAUGGUCCCCCACACUGGUACUGAGACACGGACCAGACUCCUACGGGAGGCAGCAGUGAGGAAUAUUGGUCAAUGGGCGGAAGCCUGAACCGGCCAUGCCGCGUGCAGGAAGACGGCCCUACGGGUUGUAAACUGCUUUUCCGGGGGAAGAAUAAGGGCGAUGCGUCGUCCGAUGCCGGUACCCCGGGAAUAAGGAUCGGCUAACUCCGUGCCAGCAGCCGCGGUAAUACGGAGGAUCCGAGCGUUAUCCGGAUUUACUGGGUUUAAAGGGUGCGUAGGCGGGCGCCUAAGUCAGCGGUGAAAGGCUGCGGCUCAACCGUAGGAUGGCCGUUGAUACUGGGCGCCUUGGAUUCGGUCGAGGCGGGUGGAAUGCGCGGUGUAGCGGUGAAAUGCUUAGAUAUCGCGCAGAACGCCGAUUGCGAAGGCAGCUCGCCAGGCCGAGAUUGACGCUGAGGCACGACAGCGUGGGGAUCGAACAGGAUUAGAUACCCCGGUAGUCCUGGCCGUAAACGAUG
rnacentral:rRNA from 1 species